UACGGAGGGAGCUAGCGUUGUUCGUAAUUACUGGGCGUAAAGCGCACGUAGGCGGCUUAGCAAGUCAGGGGUGAAAUCCCGGGGCUCAACCCCGGAACUGCCUCUGAAACUGCUAAGCUAGAAUCUUGGAGAGGCGAGUGGAAUUCCGAGUGUAGAGGUGAAAUUCGUAGAUAUUCGGAAGAACACCAGUGGCGAAGGCGACUCGCUGGACAAGUAUUGACGCUGAGGCACGAAAGCAUGGGGAUCAAACAGG
rnacentral:rRNA from 1 species